GAGAUGGGAGGAUUGCUUGAGCCCAGGCAGUUGAGGCUGCGGUGAGCUGUGAUCAUACCACUGCACUCCAGCCUGGGUGACAGAGCGAGACCUUGUCUCA
ensembl:miRNA